AGCCUGUCGAAUGUUGUUCCGCUAGCCGUAGCCGUAGCCGCUAACCGUAGACUAUGUCGGCUGCUAGCACAGGUAUCAAGACACCGACUGAACUUAAAGUACAAUAUAGCCAUUUAUAGAGCAAAAUGUUUAAUUAACAGUGACGAAUUUGUUGAAGUACAUGGGGUCUCCUAGCUAAAAGAAAUAGUGCUCGGAAAAUUCUAUUUAAGAAAUGCAAUUUUUAUAUUGAGAUACUCAGACAAUGCAUACUAUAUUCUGCAUUUACUUGUUGUUGGAGAGAAAGAGUACUUUUAGACAGUGUGUACGAUGAUCGCCAAACUGAGUGGACACAACUUUCCAGAAGGAGGUUUUGCUUUCUUGUUCACUUAAAAAAACCAAGAGUUUUUUUGUUUUCAUAAUGAGUCAUUUCUAGUGAUUGCUGAAAUGGAUUGGCAUGAUAUGGAAGUUCGAAGAUUGCCAUUGUUUUAGUCUUCCAAAUCAUGUUUAACUUAACAACUGCAAUGAAGGAAUGAUAGUAAUUGUGGAUAUAUGUAGAAAAUAUUUACUUCUUUAAAAGGUGUAUGUAGAUGUAUUGUCAUACCCAUCCAGAAAAGCAAUUGUGGAUCUCGGUUUCUUACAAUUCUGAACUUGGACCCAUCCAAAGAAAGAGAUUGAAUUACAUUCUCCUGGUUUUUGAGCCAUGUAAUCUACUGGAUCAGCAGGAAGACAUGUAUGAAGAAUAUAGUUUAGAAUUAAUGAAAAGGAUUCGGUGGACAAUAUGCAACUGCCAGUCUGGGAACAUACGCCAUUUCAACAAUAAUUGAAGAAUUCCUGACUCUCACGUGGGGGCAAACGUUAAAUGACGUAAAUGCCGAUGACAAACCGUUAACCAUGCUCUCGAAUUUCUGGAUGGCUCGCCUUUCUGAAAGUGAUGUAACCAACGUCGUCGUAUUCGAUCAUGGAACAGUCUGAAACGUGAAUUGGACCACAACAAGCUGCAAGUACCAUUCUGAAGAAGCGUCUUAAGAGGAGCCAAUUUCCCUUGGAAAUGAAAAAGAUUGAAUGCGAGUGAAGUCUUUAAUGAUGUGGCUUGUCUUCCACAUAAUAGUACCGCACUGCCGUGCCGCAAGGCUGUGCUUCUCGCAGUUGCAGCGCAGAAACCACCACCGCCGUCUUGUGUGUCUUUCGCAGCGUUAGAUUUGACGCUAUAUCGACGAAAUGACAAUGCAUCAAGAAACAUUCAACAAUAUGAAUUACUAAGCCACCAGCGUCUUCUCCUUGGCUUCAAUCCUGGGAACCACUUACCUGUUUCAGCUCGUUUAGUCGACGUUGCAUCAUGUGAUCCAUCCCGGGCUUUGCAAAUUUUCGACUCAAGGAGCAGUUCUCUAUUGAAAGGUGUUUGGGCUCUGUAGGCUUCAACUGGGAUUUAAGCUAUCCACAAAGUUCUUUCGAUCGAGCCUGCUUGGUGCAUGAUUGAGAUAUCCGGGCCAUUGCUGGGCAAGACUUGCUUUAGACUCUUCAUGGUUUAAAGAGGAAUAUCAUGGAAUCUCUGCUGUAUUUCCUUUUUCAUCAGUUGAUUGGUUUCGUCGACAUCGUCGCCGGCUAGAGCGCUGUAGCUGUUCACAUUUUACAGGAACCCUGGAAAAAACCUUUGCGCAGAGUAACAUCCGGAAUCACCUAUUUUAAUUCUCCCAACACACCUAAAUGGCCUUAAGUAACGUUGAAACUUUAUUUUUUCUUCUUAAAUCCCCAUUUUUGUUUUUUUUGCAACUUGUUAUCCUAUUGUAAAUAAAAUUCUUCCCCGUCACUAUAAUCCCUUAAACUGUUUAUUGAUGAUGUGGUUCUCUGAAAACCUUUUGAAAAUGCAAUUCGCUAAAACGCUAGAGAAAGAGUCACGUGGAUGAAAUACGAAUAAAGAUUCAAUGUUCAAAAUUCAUUCGAGUCGACUGUGUAUUUUAGAAACCGUGUUGUGUAUACCACUUGAAGACAAAAUAAACAGAGAUGAAGAGAA